rnacentral:rRNA from 1 species
GGGGAAAAAUUAAUUAGUUAUAUAAAUAAUAAAAAAAUUUUUAAAUAAAAAUAUAUAAUGGGGGUUAAAGUAUUUUUAUAGAAAAAAUUAAAUAAUUUAUAGGAAAUUAGUAUUGUGAAAGAAAUUUGAAAUAAAUGAAAUAAAAAAUAAAUUUAAAGUAAUUUUAAUUUGGUGUAUCUUGGGUAUCAGAGUUUAUUAAAAAAUAUUUUUAAAAAAAAAAUUCUCGAAUUUAAAAGAGAUAAUUAAUUAAUAAAGUUAUUGUGGCAUAAAUAUUUAAAAUAAUUAAUUUGAAAUGAAAUGUUAAUCGUUUUUAAAUAUAUCUAGUUAUUUUAGAAAAAAAUUUAAUUUUAUAUUAUUUUAUAAAAAAAUUAAUUAAUUAAUUUUUUUAUAAAAUAAUUUUAUAUUUUAAGGGAUAAGCUUUAAUUUAAAUUUAUAUAAAUGAUUAAUUAAAUUUAAUUGAAAUUUAUAUGAUUUAUAUUGUUAAAAAAAUUUAAUUUAUUAUAAAUAAUUUCAUUUAAAAUAAGAUUUAAUAUAAAAUUUUAUUUAUUUAUAAAAUAAAAUUUUAAAAUAAAAAAAAAAUUGAUAUAAUGAUAAAAUUAGUAUAUAAAAUUAAUUAAAAAAUAUUUUUAGGAAAAUUAAUUUAAAGGAAUUCGGCAAAAAUUUAUAUUCACUUGUUUAUCAAAAACAUGUCUUUUUGAAAAUAAUAUAAAGUCUAAUCUGCCCACUGAUUUUAUAUUAAAGGGCUGCAGUAUAUUGACUGUACAAAGGUAGCAUAAUCAUUAGUCAUUUAAUUGAUGACUUGUAUGAAAGAUUGGAUGAAAUAUAGACUGUCUCUUAAUUAAAUAUAGAAUUUAAUUUUUUAAUUAAAAAGUUAAAAUAAAUUAAAAAGACGAGAAGACCCUAUAGAGUUUUAUAAAUAAUUUAAUUAAGAUUAUUUAUAAAAAAUAUUAAAAUUAAUUUAUUUAUUUUGUUGGGGUGACAGAAAAAUAAAUAAAACUUUUUUUUUAGAAAAACAUAUAUAAAUGAUUAAAUGAUCCAAUAUUAUUGAUUAAAAGAAAAAAUUACCUUAGGGAUAACAGCGUAAUUUUUUUUUUUAGUUCAAAUAAGAAAAAGAGUUUGCGACCUCGAUGUUGGAUUAAGAUAAAAUUUAAAUGCAGAAGUUUAAAAUUUUUGAUCUGUUCGAUCAUUAAAAUCUUACAUGAUCUGAGUUCAAACCGGUGUAAGCCAGGUUGGUUUCUAUCUUUUAAUAGUUAAAAUAUUUUAGUACGAAAGGAUUAAAUAUUAAAAUUAAAUUUAUUUUAUUGAAUUUUAUUAAAUUAUAUUUAUAAAUAUUUUAUAUUAUAAUAAUUUAAAUAA